rnacentral:tRNA from 2 species
CGGGGAGUAGCGCAGCCUGGCAGCGCACCUGCUUUGGGAGCAGGAGGUCGGGGGUUCAAAUCCCCCCUCCCCGA